ensembl:snRNA RNU1-40P RNA, U1 small nuclear 40, pseudogene
AAACUUCUCUGCCAGGGGAGAUACCAUGAUCACAAAGGUGGCUUUCUCAGGGAAAGGCUGAUUUAUUGCACUCCAGAUGUGCUGACCCCUGAGAUUUCUCCAAAUGUGGGAAACUCAGCUGCAUAAUUUGUGGAAGCGAAGGACUGUGUUUGUGCUUUCAUGUG